ACCAUCACCGUAAUCACUUCCUCAAUUUCAUAUUUCGACUCUCACCGCCACCACCCUCCUCUUUCAGUUUUGGGUAUUGCCGUAUAUAUUUUGAAGUACCAAGACCCUCAGUCCCCUCAGAACAUAGAAAAAUGAGAAAAGUGGAGUGGACACAAUGAAGUCAUCAUUUCCCUCUCCGUAGCAGUGGACAACAAUGAACUCAAGAGUUGAUAGGAAUAAAAUAGAUUACCAUAUGAGGAGUCGGUGUAGUCGCUGGAAUCCUACAACUUAAAAAUGGAAAUCUAUCUUUUUGAAAUGCUUAAAUAUGAAAAUCAAUUAACGAUACGUGUUGUGAGACUUGGAACGAAAUGGACGGCACUCGCAUCCCGCGUGCGUCUUUGCUAGUACUAAUAUAAAAAAAAGACCCAAUUGUUUGGUGAAAC